GGGAACCGGAACGCGAAGGAGCUUGGGGGAGCCUAAGCCAGGAGGGACGUGGCGCUCUGCGACGCGGGCGGGGAAGCCGCGCCCCUUCCUUCUCUAGCUUUCAUGGAGAAGCCUGCGAAGCUGGAAUUUGGGAUCCCAUAGAGCAUCAACUGGCCAAGUUCUUCAUUGUCUUCAGAAGAAGAGAGAGGGAGGCAGGGGAGUAUUUACUGACAAGAGACAAUGCUUCUUCAUCUGUUCUUAUUACCCUUAUGUAACUGUGAGAGCCCUGAGCAGUAACACCCUCAAGGAGCUGUGCUGUGAAGGAAGGAGCAUCACACCGAAGAAAUGGAGGCCAGAGCUCACCAUCCAAAGAAUUCAAGCAUGAUGCACCCAAAGCUAAUUACUGUCAGACAUUGUUUUUCACAUGAAAUUUUAAUUUGCUUAGAAUUUUUUUAAGUUACUGGAAUUCCAACUCCCAGAGGGUAUUGGAAGGGAAGUCCUAAACAACUAUAUAGCAGGUUUAGAAAACAACAUGUCUAGAUUGGAGGUAUGUGAGGACAGAGGUCUCCAGGAGGAGCAUCUCUAGGAAGAUGUGGAGGUCAUGAAUCGUGUGAUAUGUUGGACUAUAUAAAAGCUGUAAAGAGAAGCUGUUGGGGUAUAUGGAGAUAAUUAGCAAUAGAUAUAUAGAAAAUUGAGGAAAUUAAAUAAUGAGGCAAUUAUUGAAUCUGGAAAAAGCAAAAAAAUAUAGAAGGAAACAUGAUCUAUGUACAACACGUACUCAGUAGUAAAUUACACUUAGUCAUAUUGAGUUAACUAAAUAUCUUUACAUAAUUAUAUUGGGAGAAUGGGAAAAGUGGAAAAAGAGAAUGGUUUAACAAUGCUAAAUCUGUGUCUGCCAUGAUUACAAAAUUGUAAAGAAUGAAAAAAUAAUAAAAAAUAACAAUAUUAGCAUAUUAAUUAGGACUAUGGUCUCAAGGACCAGAAGAACAACUAAGAAGAGUUGAAAAAAAUCUGCCUCUGGAGAGCAGGAUUGGGGGACAAUGAGGGAUAGGAUUGGGAUGAGA